AACUAACCAAUUAACUCGCGGUACAGGGUUGUAACUAACCAAUUAACUCACGGUACAGGGCUGUAACUAACCAAUUAACUCACAUUACAGGUCUGUAACUAACCAAUUAACUCACGGUACAGGGCUGUAACUAACCAAUUAACUCACGUUACAGGUCUCAAAACGAACCAAUUAACUCACGUAAUAGUUCUCUAUUCCAAACGGAUCAAUUAACUCAUAUUAACUUAACGAAACAAUUAACUCACUUAAACAAACAAUCAUCUCUCACCUUACAGAACUCUAAAGAGACCAAUUAACGCACCUUACAAGUCUCUAAACAAACCAAUAUACCCUCACCUUACAGGUUUCUAAUCAGACCAAUUCAAUCACUGUACAGGUCUCAAAAUAAA